CCAUGACUAAUCCUACUAAGAAGAAGAUCUACGGUCUUGAAAGAUCUAUUUCAUUAUGCUCUGCCGCUCAAAGGAGACAGACACCUUUGACUGUGUCUGCUACUUCUAGAAAACAGACAGUGCUAAGGGGAAAUGUGACAGAGAGAAAAGACUAAAAUCAACACUGCUGCUUCUGCAAUUAAAGCAAGGAAACUGUUCCGGGAAGCAAACGAUUCGGUGAAAUGUAAAAAUAGCAUGUUGGAAAAUUUAAUUAAUACGUCAUGAAGUAGAACAAUCUAGAUUCUUCCUUUACAAAGAGGUAAAACAGAGGGUAUAGAAACAGAGACUUAGAGACCAAGAGUCUUAAUUAAGGAGAAUUAAUAAAAAGCAUGUUCGAGAAUUUAAUUAAGACAUGUCAUGAUACGGAAGAAGCCAUGUUCCUUCUUCCUUUAAGAUGUAAAGGCUUUUGGUUUAAGCUUAGCCUUAAAAGAGAGGAAAAACAGAGUAUAUGGAAACGGAGACUAAACCAAAAUUGAAACUUUGUUCCUUGGUUUCGAAAUAAAAGCUAAUUAUAUGAAAAUAUAAGCAUACCCGUCUUUGAAUUAGGAAGGUGCAAUAACGAAAUCGAUUUGAUAUUUCUGAUUGAUGAGAGAAAGGAUAAAAAUUGGAAAGUAUUUAUUUGAAAAAACUUUUUUUUCUGUGGCAUGGUGUUUAAGGAGAAAAUAAGGAAACAGAGAUUUCAUGAAGAAAUAAAAUAGAGCAAGUAACGAACAAGAAGGGACGAGGAAAAUUAAAGCGACGACAUUAGUGAGUUCAAACUAUAAACAAUUAUAUUACUUAAAAUUUAUAUAUACAAUUAAACUAAUUUAUGUAUAUUAUAAUAAUAUAUUUUGAGAGACUUUGAGAGAACCUCUCACUGCACAUGCUCUCAAUACUGCUUUCUAUAGGCACGAGCUGUCGUUCAAGAGGUUCACUUUCUUCCAUUCAAUCAUACUGAUAAGAGAAAAUCUCUAACUAAGAGCAUGAUUAUCCAUAGUGUCUUAGAAAUAAAUCUUAGGAAUAUUUAAGUAAUAUAUUUGUAAAAUAUGGUUCUUAACUAUUUUUUUGUUGCUUACCUAAGAAACCCUCUUAGCAAUAAUGGUUUAGUUGGGAUUUAAUUUUAAUCAUUUAUUGCUAAGAUCCAACUUAAGAAAACUUUAAGAACCUGCCUUUAAUCAUGGUCUAAGAUGCAUAGUGCACAUGAGCAAGUAAAUUGUUGAUUGCCAUUUAACUUCUAUUUCUAAAAAUAUUGGUGUAGAUUCAUAUCAGCUAAUAUUGCCGAUGAUUCAAAUCCAAAAUCUUGAACACAAUAAAGCAAAGAUUAAGUGGAGAGUUAAUACUGUGAUAGACAAUUUUGCUGAAUUAUUAUAUAUCUUAGUUUUUUUAGGUUUUCAUUGGUAGCCUUAAUGAAAACUCGGGCAAUUAUUUUGAGACGGUCCUAAUAAAAAAAGUCUAAUUGUUCCAUUAAAGGAGAAUGAUUUUUUUAUUUGAGUCAUUAACAGUAUUUACUUUGUGUAAUAGUUGUGAGAUAUGAUUUAGUCGGUUUACCCGGUACAAUCAGACUUUCGACAUAGCAAACGAAACCUCUUAACAAUAGUUGUUGAGUUAGCUGCAAAUUCAUCAAAAUAUUUCAUAGAGAACCAACAUUUGGACUUGAUAUACGAGCUGCUACACUAGAAGAGCAAUGGUUUGAACAAUUUGCGAGAUAAUGAAUGUUGUUCUUUAGGAUAAAGUGUGUGUCUUUUUUUGUAAAGGGAUUUGGAGGUACUUGAAAAUAAUUUUUUUGGUUCUCUGGUCAAUUUUGUACGCCACUCUUUGAUCUAGAGGUAUAUAUGAUAGUCCUUAGCAUUGCAUCUAGCUGUAUUGCUUCAUUGUUGUUGUUGUUACUCGGGGACUAACAGUACAUUCGAGGUUUGGUAUACCACUUAACCCUAAUCAAUCCACUACUUACUUGAUAAAGACAUAUUCUCAUCAUGUAUAUUUGAUUAGAUUAGCUAGGCUCGUAAUAUGGGACAAAACCCCGAAGAUGAGCAAGAAAUGCUUUGAAAGAUUUUAUCGUAGCAUGCGUGUCAUAUCUGCACCCUUCGGUGCUCCCUUGUAAAAUCAGAGUAUAUGAGUAUAGAUACUUAAUAGGUUUAAGUGUUCUUCGAUCUUGGACGAUACAUUCCAACUUAUACUGGUCGAUACAGAGGUUAUACAAAUUUUUGGUUUUUCUAAUAAAAUAAAUUGUUUGGUGAAAGAUUGCUAUACCUUUAACAAUUUUAUUUUGUUUGUUUGGGUCACGACAUACAUACUAUAAUUGAUAAAGAGUAUUAUCGUCGCCGUGGAUUCAGGUUUUUCCAAGGACGAUGGAUACAUGGCCGGCCCUAUAGACAUCAACAAGAAACUUUUGCUGUAGCCCAAAUUUUGUUUCUGAAAUUCUUCAACAAAAAUUAUUUACGAAACGGCCCUAAUUUUAUUUAUUUUACGAUAAUUGGCCCUAAAUUUUAAAACCUUUCAAAAUAACCAAAAACUUUUUUUUGAGUAUUUGGCCCUUCAAAUCUCAGGGCAGGCCCUGGAUGGAUAACACUUAGAGAUUUUGAUUCAUGUUAUCGGUUCGCUUAGUCCUACUUUUUAUGAUUUUAAAAUUCAUUGGAAUUUAUCAAUCUUUGUUUCACAUAUACCUUCCUUGGGUGCGAAUGAUUACUGCGCAUUCGCAUCUUUUAGGAAAAUUGAUACUUAGUUUUGAGUAUGUUUAUUUCCCUGGUCCCAUAAUAUCUUUUGUUUGGAUAUUUUA